GCAACUCGACUCCAUGAAGCUGGAUUCGCUAGUAAUCGCGCAUCAGCCAUGGCGCGGUGAAUACGUUCCCGGGCCUUGUACACACCGCCCGUCAAGCCAUGGAAGCCGGGAGUGCCUGAAGUGUGCAACCGCAAGGAGCGCCCUAAGGUAAAAACUGGUGACUGGGGCUAAGUCGUAACAAGGUAUC
rnacentral:rRNA from 1 species